UACAGAGGUCUCAAGCGUUGUUCGGAUUCAUUGGGCGUAAAGGGUGUGUAGGUGGCGCGCUAAGUCGGGUGUGAAAUUUUGGAGCUUAACUCCGAAACUGCAUUCGAUACUGGCGUGCUUGAGGACUGGAGAGGAGACUGGAAUUCAUGGUGUAGCAGUGAAAUGCGCAGAUAUCAGGAGGAACACCGAUGGCGAAGGCAGGUCUCUGGGCAUUAACUGACGCUGAGGAGCGAAAGCAUGGGGAGCGAACAGG
rnacentral:rRNA from 1 species